UAAUUAGUUGAUCUUAACUUUUCUUUGGUGUAAGUGACUAAUGGGAGAGUUGCUGCUGCAUGGGGCCAUUGCCCAGAAAAUCCUAAAGAGCCUUGCUGGAAUUGAGGUAGACUGGUUAAACAAAAAUAUCUCUGAUAUGUGGCCUUGCCUUCAUAAGAUUGAAGUUGGAGAGAUUGAAAGGCUAAAAAAUGAUUUAGUUUGAAUCCUCCCCCACAUGAUUCAGACAUGUUGAAGCUAUUCUAUCCAAGCCACAAUGCCCAGGUGCACAUUGUUAUGGAUGACAUGAAUUAAUUUUACUCCAUAGAGGAGCAGGACAGUUGAACAAAAUUGAAUAAAUGUGGAUAUUUUCAAUUAAUGUUUAGAAGCAAGAAAUGGCAGUGGGAUUUAUUUAGUAGUUUGUAAGUUGUAGGAAGAAAUUGGUCCACCCCAAUGUAUAUAGCCCAUAACUACAUUAAUGUGAAUUUCCCACUGGAU